UCGGGAGGCUCCUGGGAUCGGUCCCCUGAGCCCUGUCCCGGGCUUCCAGAAGCUAACGCUGUAACCCAGGAGAUGAAUGGGAAAGUUUAGAGCCAUGGUUGUGGUGGAAGUACGCAGGAGAGGCUGAACAUGGCUGAAAGUGGCGGAACGUUGAGUGCUUUCUGAGAUGCAAUGGACUACCUGCUCGAGUUGAGCUGUAAUGGAAGGAACAGUUAAUGAGAGCUGGGGGCAGCGGGGAGCUCAACUAGGAGACAUCUGGCCCCAACUUGAUGCGGCAUUAGCAGGACAAAAGACAUUCCCAGUGAAAGAACAGACUGUGAGAAGGCCUGAGCCUACAGACCACUGAAGAGAACUGAAGUACAACAGCCCAAGAAAGUUGGCACAAGAUGGAGAAGGCUUUGAAUGCCCCGCCAACAGUUCUAGAUUCCAUGAUAAUGACUUCAGACAAGGAAUUUAGGUGAUACAACUAAUUAUCGAUGAUGAUGAUGAUGAUGAUGAUGACGACAAUGUAUGAGUGAUGCUAUCCAUGGAACCCAAAGCUUCUGAAUACUGAGCUGGCACACUGCUGGUGAUCGAUAGCCUCAGCCUGCACCUAGUUCUUUGAAAUGAAAUGGUUGACAUCAAUGGGAAGGGCAGAUUGAUAAGCAAAAGACUGAAGAACCUGAGAAGAGUUGUCCUGAGGGUUUCAUGGGCUACUGUGUGGAAAGUACCCUGGCAAUGUGGAAGGGACACACACAGGGUGGUCAAGUCUCCAACCAGAAGCCCACUUCCCCUACCAUGGCUUCCUGAAGUUGGCUUGGUCUCCCUCCACUCUCUGCAGUCAAUCAACAGUGUCCAACUCGACAGCCUGAGAGGCCUGUGUAAGAGUCUGGGUAUGGCUUCACCCUCCCAAGAAACCAUCUGGCGACAAAAGCUGGAGACGCUGGAAUCCUUCUUCGGUGAAUGAUUCAUUCUAACAGGAAUGGACAAGUAUUUGGCUGUAUCUGUGCCUGCUGGACUGCCUCACUCUACAAAGAAGGAAUGCCAUUUUCCAGGCUGCAUAAGGAUCGAGAACAAAAGGGUUUUACUAUGGUUCUGUGUCUCCAGCAGGAAGAAUAUGUGGACCUGGGAAACAAACUGGCUAUUACUCCCCUGGGCCCCAGAUCCACUCCCACCGUUCUGAUUCCGUAGGGCUAAGGGACCUGGUUCCUAAAAUGGGACUCUCUGCAUCAGGUGAGGCAGCAGAAGUCCCUUUGAAUAACUAGCAGUAGCUUCUGCUUGAGCACUUCAUGUGUCUGGUAUCCAGAGACAGUCUCCUUGGAGACAUUACUCAUCAUCAGGACCCUCCACAUCCAAUAGCUGAUCAAAGUGUGGUUCUAGACUCAAGGUCUGGACCAGGCAAAUGGCUCAGUUGGUAAAGUGUUUGCCAAUCCAUGUAGAAGGCCAGGUGUGACAGCACAUGCUUGGAACAGUGGAGACGGAGGAUCUCAUGGGACUCACCAGCCAGCCUGGCCUACUUGGUGCCUUCCAAGCCAGAGAAAGAGCCUAUCUCAAAAAGCAAAGUAGAUAGCUCCCAAAGGAUAAACCCGAGGUUGUCCUCUAGCCCCCGUAUGCAUGUGCACAUGAGCAUGUGAAUUUACACACACGCACGCACCCAUGCACGCACAAGUAACACAAUCGAAAUUGGUCCCAGCACUUUCAGCCUGAUUGGAGCACUGUGGUUCCAGAGCUCCUCCUGGGUCACUCGAGUCUGCUGCUCUUCCUUACAGCUGUGUUUCCUGCUUCUACACUCGCUUCCUUCUCUUCCCUUCCCUUCUACAGGUGUCAAUGUCAGAGGCACUCCCUAAUAAACA